UACAUCUGGCCGACGUCGGCCUGAGGACUACACAUCGGCCCUGAAUUUAUAACGUCUGACAAGCGUCGGCCGCAUGGGCGGAUAUCUUUAAAUUUAAUACUCUUUUGUCCCAGCUCAUCAAACGUCUCUGUUACGUCGGCUUUGGGUCGGCCCAGUGCCGUAGAAUGUCUGCCCACAUACGGAAGUCGCCACAGAGGCGGAAUUUCAUCUCCGCGGUGUUUGUUUGGAACUGAGCUCGCAGGACACAGCAUCUCAUCGCAGUUGGUUUCAGUUGACGUUAUCUGCUCAUCUGGUUAUCGUGAACACUCGUUUUGGGUUAAAGUGGAAGUGCCCGGAGCUGCCAGCCGUGGUCCCACCUGACCUCCGGGGCCCUGGACGGAUGCUCAAGUGUGGGUGACAAGCGCAGAGAGGAGCGCAGAGGUCAAAUAGUGAAGUUUAAAGAUGCCUUCGGUAUGUUGGUAAUGUGAUUUUAUGGGCAAUUUAUCAGUUGAGGUCUCCUCCUCUGCAAAGCAAACUGACCCGGUGGCUACAGGUAAUAGCGCAGUUUUGAAGCCACUGUUUUUCCGAGAUGAAGGACUGAUUGUUGAGCUGCUGUUAACAGUUAACAGAGUUAACGCCGGAUCCCGUUAUUUAACAGUUUCCACACUGAAUGAAGCAGAGUGACGGACCCAAAGCCUUCAAUCUGGCUAAAAGACAGCUGAAAUACUAAAAAAAAAUACAGUGGUGAAGUUGGGAUUUGUUUCUUGAAGUUAUGUGCUCAUCAUCUUUUCUGUGUCUUGCAGGCUGCCAGGAGAAGCGGACUGGCCGUCAGAUAUUGUUUGUGGAAAUUUGAAAAUAAAGUUUCUCAAAUUGA